rnacentral:rRNA from 1 species
UACGUAUGGAGCAAGCGUUAUCCGGAUUUACUGGGUGUAAAGGGAGCGUAGACGGCGAGGCAAGUCUGAUGUGAAAGGUGUGGGCUCAACUCACAAACUGCAUUGGAAACUGGUUUGCUAGAGUGUCGGAGAGGUAAGUGGAAUUCCUAGUGUAGCGGUGAAAUGCGUAGAUAUUAGGAGGAACACCAGCGGCGAAGGCGGCUUACUGGACGAUAACUGACGUUGAGGCUCGAAAGCGUGGGGAGCAAAC